rnacentral:pre_miRNA from 1 species
UCUUAUGGAUGAGCAAAGAAUAUUUUCUUGAGAUGGAAUUUACUCCUGGUGAAGAUGCUGUGAA